rnacentral:rRNA from 1 species
CCUACGGGCGGCAGCAGUGGGGAAUAUUGGACAAUGGGGGCAACCCUGAUCCAGCCAUGCCGCGUGUGUGAAGAAGGCCCUCGGGUUGUAAAGCACUUUCAGUGAGGAAGAACGCCUGGUGGUUAAUACCCAUCAGGAAAGACAUCACUCACAGAAGAAGCACCGGCUAACUCCGUGCCAGCAGCCGCGGUAAUACGGAGGGUGCGAGCGUUAAUCGGAAUUACUGGGCGUAAAGCGCGCGUAGGUGGCUUGAUAAGCCGGUUGUGAAAGCCCCGGGCUCAACCUGGGAACGGCAUCCGGAACUGUCAAGCUAGAGUGCAGGAGAGGAAGGUAGAAUUCCCGGUGUAGCGGUGAAAAGCGUAGAGAUCGGGAGGAAUACCAGUGGCGAAGGCGGCCUUCUGGACUGACACUGACACUGAGGUGCGAAAGCGUGGGUAGCAAACAGGAUUAGAUACCCCUGUAGUC